CGCGCACGCCUCACCUCGGAUGCCUGCUCACCCUCAACUUUGCAAAGCUCAAAUAGAGGCGCUCGCAGGGGAGGAGGAGUCAGCCACGCCGAUCCUCCAUUCACACAACCUCCGCCGAGGGGCUGCCCACGGCCCGCUCUGCUGAACCCAGCCGGACCAGACGCGCGGGGGGGAGGGGAGACACAGGAGAGCCGGGGAUGGAGGGGGAGAUGUGGCUGUGGGAGAAUAUAUCUCCCCUACACACCACUCCCACCCUUCUUGUGGUGCAAGCGCCACUAAAUCUCACCCUAACGUUCCUCCGCUUUAGGAGAGACUUGCAGCACUGUUAGAGGGAUCCAGGUGGCCAGCCCGGAGCCUCUUUCCUCCCCAGCCUCCUGGACAGCGGGUCCUCAGCGUCCAUCCCGGGGGCGGCGGCCGGAGGGCCCCCGAGGGGACCUUACACAUUAUCCCCGGGCCGUCCUUCCUCCCAGGAGACACGGCAGGGGUGGGGUCGGCCCCGGCAGCGGGAGCUGCCUUGAUUCUGGCGGGCCAGGAGCCCACCUAGACCGACUGCCCAGCCAGGAAGCGCCGGGGCUGGUGGCAGAGCCCCGCGGGACUCGGCGGUACCUGCCGCGGGAAGGACGCGCUCUCUCCGAAGGCAAGGAGGGGAAUCCUGCCUCCCUCCUGCAGAACUACGAAUGAAUAAUCACCCGGGGGCGGGGGAUGCUGCUUCUACAAGCAGGAGUGGGGCAGCUGCCGGCUCACGGUACCCGCGGAGUCCGCGGGGUCGCACCUGUCCCUUGCCCAUUGUCACCGGCCGCUAUUAGAACCGCGGCACCGCAAACGCCGCCGGGGCCACCGCCCGCAGACGCCGCCGCGGCGCUCAGCCCGCACCCUCACGGUCCUCGGCAGCGACAGCAGCGACAGAGCCGCCAAGGUUCACCUGCCGCACGACACUCCGAGCCCCCCGUCUCCCGGUGUACACCUCGGGAUCUCCUUUCCCUCGCGGCACCAAAGGUUACCGUAAACAUCGCCAACCUUGAAGCGAUGUUUUAAGAUUCAAAGGUUUACAGAACGUGCCACUUCAGAGUCCACGGCAAACUGAAGCACCCUCGGACGGCGCUUGUGCAGGCAGCCCGUGCCCGUGCAGGGGGAUCCCGCUGACCUUGCUGACACCGCGGGCUCCGGCUCCCGCUCUUCCUCCC